ensembl:lncRNA
UUUUUGUAGUUUUGAGCGAUAUUUUUGCUGACCAGUGGCUUGAAGAUAAACUCUCUAAUGAUUAUUUUUAUUUUGAGUAGCUUGGACUCAGUUUUGCCAAAACUCUUAGUAAUUUGAAGGUGGAAUGUCUUAUCAGCACGGGAAUUUGCAUAAAUGAAGAUAACUUUUCAGGGGUCACUGACGUAGCAGUAAAUCAGAGCACCUAGACGAGCAGUGAGGGUUCCUGGACAAGAGGCUUCGUUCCCCUCCGUAAUAGUCUUCUCUCCGUGAGACGAUAAGUGACCAGACAGAUGCCUCAUUUGUCAGGAAAGUGCGGGACAUGGCUCCUGGCCCCAGCUGUCUCCCUUGGUACCAACAUCUCUGUGGGUUAGGAGAGAGGCCUAAAGUUUCAGCCUUCGCUCUUCCGUGAGGGCUUUAGCCAGUAUUUCAGGAGAGCGUGACUGAUAGGUGACAUUUUGUGAGGUCUCUCAGACAGUCCUCGUCGGCGGGUUCUUAAAGGGAAACAAGCAAACAUGGAUUUGGAUAAAUGCUGUCAGCAGAAGCCUUGAUCCCUGCUUGCAGCUUAGUGGUUCUUUCCUUUAAGGGAACUUUUCUGUUGCUUUGGUUGGUAACAGGUAAGAACAGAAGCAAAGCAGUUGUUCUUGCUUCCUCCUCUGAGGGAAGAAGACAGCACUGUUGCAGCUUUGACUGUAUCCCUGCCUGGCCAGUGACAGGAGAAGGCAAAGCUUAGGAAACUGCCACAUUUGUAUUUAAUUUUGAGGUGUGAUAUCUUUAAGUAUGCCAGAAUUGCUAACUUCUUCUUUCUCCUUCAUAGACAGAGUAUAUGAUCAUGCAAAUACAGUUUUCAUAUUUGCUUUUCCUUAAUUUUUCUAUACUUUUUGCCAAUUGACUUAACAAUGUUGCCAUCAUGAGGAAAUUUCAAGCACUCUUGCACAUUUAGUUCAGUGUUCCUUUGUGAAUAAAUGGCUUAACUUUUUUUUUACUAUUUUUUCACUACUUUUAAUUUUCUCAUCUCAUUUUAUCUCUGUAUCAGUGACCUACCUUAAAUAGUCCACUCACCCAAAUAGUUUAAAACAUUUCAUUUCAUGAUCAAUCUCCAAGGAUCUAAGAUCAUUUUGAGUCAAACAAACCCUAAUGUAUAUAGAGCUUCUCUAUCUGCCUCCAUACUGGUGCAGGUAGGUCAUUGACAGCACCCACCCCUGAUCAUAUGCAUACACCCUCACUAGCCCUUGAAGACAUUGGAAGUCCUAUCUGAGACCUCUCUCGACUCUCUGCAUGUCUUUUGGUUGUCAAGUGUUUCUGCAUGACAGUGUCCCACAAUAACAAAUAAUGAUUUCAGUUAGUCCACCUGUAUUUAAAAUGUGCAAGAAAAAUUGAAAUACUCUGCUGUAGCAAGUUUUAUGUAACAAAGAUAUAUCAUCGUGUUAAUAAAUUAAGAGCAUCAUUUGUAUUAAA